UACAGAGACUGCAAGCGUUAUUCGGAUUCACUGGGUUUAAAGGGUGCGUAGGAGGGCAGGUAAGUCAGUGGUGAAAUCUCCGAGCUUAACUUGGAAACUGCCGUUGAUACUAUCUGUCUUGAAUAUUGUGGAGGUGAGCGGAAUAUGUCAUGUAGCGGUGAAAUGCUUAGAUAUGACAUAGAACACCAAUUGCGAAGGCAGCUCGCUACACAUAUAUUGACUCUGAGGCACGAAAGCGUGGGGAUCAAACAGG
rnacentral:rRNA from 1 species